rnacentral:rRNA from 1 species
GGGGAAUAUUGCGCAAUGGGGGCAACCCUGACGCAGCCAUGCCGCGUGAAUGAAGAAGGCCUUCGGGUUGUAAAGUUCUUUCGGUGACGAGGAAGGUUGUUGUGUUAAUAGCACAACAAAUUGACGUUAAUCACAGAAGAAGCACCGGCUAACUCCGUGCCAGCAGCCGCGGUAAUACGGAGGGUGCGAGCGUUAAUCGGAAUAACUGGGCGUAAAGGGCACGCAGGCGGCUAUUUAAGUGAGGUGUGAAAUCCCCGGGCUUAACCUGGGAAUUGCAUUUCAGACUGGGUAGCUAGAGUACUUUAGGGAGGGGUAGAAUUCCACGUGUAGCGGUGAAAUGCGUAGAGAUGUGGAGGAAUACCGAAGGCGAAGGCAGCCCCUUGGGAAUGUACUGACGCUCAUGUGCGAAAGCGUGGGGAGCAAACAGGAUUAGAUACCCUGGUAGUCCACGCUGUAAACGCUGUCGAUUUGGGGAUUGGGCUUUAAGCUUGGUGCCCGUAGCUAACGUGAUAAAUCGACCGCCUGGGGAGUACGGCCGCAAGGUUA